GUGAAUCAUCAAAUUUUUGAACGCAAAUUGCACUCUCUGGUAUUCCGGAGGGUAUGCCUGUUUGAGGGUCAGUUUUAAUAAAAAUCGGUGUGGUUGCUGCCUUUCGUGGUGACGCACUGGAUUUGGGUCGUCUUGCCUUCGGUUAAGGGACCUCGGAUUUUGCAUGAUUUUUUAUAAGGU
rnacentral:misc_RNA from 1 species